CCGCCGUGAAGUCCCUGUUGAAGGCGCUGCCGCUGGAGCUGUACAGACGCACCAGGUCAUCCGCCGGCCCGUUGUUGAACAGCUCCUGGUCGGAGUGCAGCAGGCUCCGUCGGACCAUCAGGUCCCGGUAGUAGCUGACGUCGAAGCGGUUGGGGCUCGUGGAGUCGAGCGGGACCAGGUUGGAGUCCCCGCCGGUGGCCGGGCAGAUCCGCCUCCUGAACAUGGCGAACGCCGGGUCGACGUUGGCGUCGCUGUAGACGUGGGGUCGGAAGCUGCUGCACCUCGCCGCGCCGACGGUGUGCGCGCCGGAGAGCGCCGUCAGGUCCCGCAGGUCGAGCCCCUUGGCGGCGAACUUGGUGACGAGGCUGCUGAUGUUGUCGGAGGCCGGCGGGAGGUUGGCGUUGGCGGCGUCUACGCUCGCGGUCCUGGCGUCGCGGCGGCCCAGCAGCACCGUCCAUGACGGCCCCCCGAGCUGCACGGCGUCCCGGGCACGCAUGCGUCAGUUUGACGUCACCGUCCACACUAAUCUUCCUACCAAAGCAUGGGUUCGGCGGCGCUCACCAGGCUCACCGAGUCGCGCGCGGCGAGGGCGACGAUGUCGGCGCAGGACACCGUGGCCCGGCACGACGCCUCCACGCGUGACUUGAUGGCGUCGAUGAUCUCGUAGCCGCGGAGGGAGUUCAUAUUCCCCAUCGCGUUCUUCUCGCCCCUCAUCGUCGGUGUGUCAUCCAGGAGGACGGACGCGUCGCAGCCCUGUGGGUGCGCAAACCAUCUGCUCCACUUAGCACACUCCCAAGAAACAACAACGCUUUACUUGCAGACGUAUCAGCUACGGUCUGAAUUGAUGGUAGUCAAUCAUGGUCCACUACGGACAACCUCGAUGGUAAAUGGAAUUGGAGCAUCCCAAGUAACCAGUUUCAAACAGGCUACAUGGCAGGACACAGCUACAUUGCUACAGAGGGUCAAAUUUACACGGUGGAGAAGCAUUGAAAGAAUUAAUAUAUGGUCCCAUGGAUUCUCCAUCAUGAGAUGACAUGUUAUCAUCAUUCAACCCACAAUAGCAUAUCCGCCAAUUAAGACGAAGCUUAAUGCUACGAAAAGCUCCUUCUCGUGGUGUUCAUGAAGGAAUCUACUCAAAAGCGAAAAGCAAGUUUAGUUCAUGUUCUGGAGAAUUUCACUACGAGGAAAUGCAUGUAAAAGGUAGAUAGUCUUUCACGUGCAUGGGAAAGUUUGCUGUGGGUGCACACAGACACACAGUUGUCUUUGAAGCUAUGUGACGGUCGCUUAAGCUCAUCGAAGCCGUGUCCUCAUCGACCAACUAUAUGGCAGGUGGAGGUGCUUGAUGCAUGUGAAAAGUAAUUUCCUUUUCCCUUUUCCUUUCGAGGGAAUGCGUGGUGUAAUUCGAUUGUCCUCGCCGGAGGACAAUCGCAGUUCUCCGACGGAUCGACGGAGCAAAUUGGUACCCGUAAAACAAGAAAGGCUAUUAGGGAGAGGAAGAGACGGUGCGGAUAACGUACGUUGACGAAGCAGUCAUGGAAGAAGAGGCGAAUGACGGAGGCGCCCAUCCGGGGAUCCUGGCCGACGACCUGCGCCAUGACCGACCGCACGACGCUCUCCAGGUCGGGGCACGUCACGGCGUAGAACGCCGGCGACAGCUGAGCGUGGGCGGCGCUCGCCAGCAGAGAGAGGAUGGCCACCGCGAGAAGGCCAUUAGAGAAGGAAGCCAUGAUAGGAGGAGAAAGG
rnacentral:lncRNA from 1 species